GAAAAGAUAGAGGGGGCAUACGCGGCAGUGCCUAAUACAUGCAAAAAAACAACAGCGGACAGAUGGGAGCUUGCUCCCUGAUGUUAGCGGCGGACGGGUGAGUAACACGUGUGGUAACCUGCCUGUAAGACUGGGAUAACUCCGGGAAACCGGGGCUAAUACCGGAUGGUUGUUUGAACCGCAUGGUUCAAACAUAAAAGGUGGCUUCGGCUACCACUUACAGAUGGAGCCGCGGCGCAUUACUGGUUUUUUUUUAACGGCUCACCAAGCCAACAUGCGUAGCCGACCUGAGAAGGUGAUCGGCCACACUGGGGCUGAACAGGGCCCACACUCCUAUGGGAGCACGGUGGGAAUCUUCCCAAUGGACAAAGUUGACAACAACGCAGCGUGAGUGAUAAGGUUUUGGACAAAGCUUGUUGUAGAGAAAAAAAAUA
rnacentral:rRNA from 1 species